AUGCUUUAGGGAUGAAUAUGUCCCUCAUAUUCAAUUUAUCCAUCUGAAUCACUUUGUCAGCUUUGCUAUUCAUAUUCUGCUGAUCAUUAUAGGAUGGAAUAUUU